AGGGCUGGGCAGGGGUUCCUUCUGCCCCAUCCGCUCCCCGGGGUAUCCCCCCUCCCAGACUCCGUCCCUGUUGUCUGCCUGUCUUCGUCUUCCAGAGAAGGGGACUUGGCGUUCUCGUCCUCGAGGGCAGCCGAGUACGUGGCGGGGAGAGGCCGCCGGAUGGUGGCGUUGGGACCUGGGGCUCUCUGUCCAGGCGUAGAAAUGAGCAGGCCACGGUCAUCAGUCGCGUCUCACUGCCCUCCCGUCGGGCAGAGGGGCCUGCACCGUGCCCGCCCGGGGCCCCGGCAUGGUCUGGGAAGAGGGCUUCCUUCCCCUCCGAGGCCCAUGCCGCUGUCCCCACCCGCCUGGGCGCUGCUCACCGACGGCUGCCGGCCUAAGGAGCUUCACGGGCGGCCGAGGACUCAGUGUCCAGCUGUGUUGCCCAAAGCGCCCUCCAAGAGCCCUCACCUCGCAGGCCUUCCUUCCUUCCGCGCCCCGAGGACAGGAUAGGAAGGAGACGCCCAAGUGGAAGGAAGGAAGCGUUUCUCCUCCUUCCUGGAAGCGGUGCCGGUGGUGAGCGCACACCGCUGACCAGCUCCCUCCUCUGCCUGACGCCCCUGCCCCCCCAAGUGCAGGUGGAGCCCCCAACAGGUGGGUGGACGGCCCCUCGCGGCUGCACCUGGUUGGCCCCAUUGCGCCUUGUGGAUCCCAGAGGGCGGGGAUGCCCUGUUCUGUCCCAGUUACCACCUGGCCCCAAGGCUCGGUAAGGAGUCGCUUGACCCUGCAGAGAUCGGGGUGCAUGUGUGGUAAAACGGUCCUCGUGGCCACCUCGUUCCUCACAGCUGGAAGCGGAAACGGCCCUCACGGCCCCCAGAGAACGGAGACGCAGCUGGCAGAAGAACGGGGUGCAGAGGAGCCAGGACCGGUCGGAGUGCGCGGGCCCUGACGCGCCCCAGGUGGCUGAGAUGGCAGGCCUCCCGCGGCCUCCCGUGUCCCCGCCCUGCCUGAGGCCACCACAGCGUCUCCGGGACGCAAGGAGAGCGGGGGACACUGAGCCGUCAUUCUGGGCAGGGGACAGCACGGGCACGUCGGAUUCCCAGAUCCCGGGACGGGAACUUCCCAGACAAUGUCGUCAGCCACACUGCGGCGUGCUGGCACCGAGCUGGCAAACGUCUCACGGGGAAUUUAAAUAUGUCUCGAUAGAAUAAAGCGAUUUAAGUCCACUCUA